UGUAACCUUCGCCAGAUAAUUAAUGCGUGACAACCACAGGCUUUGCACACGCUUCGGCAGCAGGCUUGGGAGGAGCGCACAGACACCAGAGCUACAAAUAAAUUACAGGGGAAGGCUGCACCUCCCCCUGAAAACGAACGCUCCGCAGAUGGCGGCCUGCUGCUCCCGGGCGUCCUUGUCAACAGUGUGGGCAACACGCAUGGUCUCCCCGAGGGGGAGACUGAGGCAAGGCAAGUGACUCACAAAUGGCAUUCAGCAAGUUGUCGCUGGAGGCGUGCAGCGCGGAGUUCCGGGCAGAGUCUGCCUAAAAGAGGGGGUUAUGUGCACCGGGUCCAGCAUCUGAACGGCUUUCUGCAGACAGACCUGGGACAAGUGGACCCUCUCCUUAGGUUGGGCCCCUCGGUCCUGCCCCCAGCUCCUGUGCCAGGUGGAGCUAACUGGAUCUUCGUUGCAGCCCACGAAGCCCCCAGUUCGGUCACUGGUCUGGAUUCACUGCUUGUUCUCUGUGCUCUCAAAUGACGUGUGACCAGCUCUGCAUCCAGCGUUUUAGUUAUUUCUCACCCUGCCGCCACUCCCGCCUGGGCAUUCCGGAAGGCGAGGAUUGUUUUACCUCUGCAUCAUCUGCUCCUGGCAUGAUGUGCCUAGCACCUAGCUCCCCUGAGAACUGUCAUCCACUGCAGAUGCAGGGGGCGGAUUUCGAGGACAAACCGUGAGGUACUUGGUGUCACCACUUGGCCGAGCGUUUUUGUCAGCUAGACCGGAGUCCCAGGUCAGCCUGCAGGAACCAGGCCCAGCAGAGGUACCCCACCAGGGGCGUUUGGAACGAAGGACGCCAGGGUGGGGAGGCAGCAGGCCUGCCCCUCUGUGGACGCGGCGUGUCUGCCUGAGGCCUGGCACACUGGGAGAGCACUUCCUGCAUCCAGCUGCCUCCUCCAGCCAGCGUGUCAAGCUACAAGUACCCACUGAGCACCUACUGUGCGCCAAGUGCUGGGCCAGGUGCUGCGGAAGGGCAAAGCAGCAGAGGUCACUGGGGGCCCAUGGCCUGUGGAGCAUUAACUGGUUGGAGGCCUACAGACACAGUGGGCCCUGCAGGGCGUGCGAUCGAGGUGGUGCGGGCACAGUGGGCCCUGCAGGGCGUGGGAUCAACGUGGUGUGGGCCGUAGGGGUGGGGGCGGUGAAAGUACGGCUCUGGCCGCUCCCUCCCCUCCUUACAGGGCUCCUGCUCUGAGACUCUCACUCAUUCCCCAGGGCCCCCUGCACUGAUGACCCCAAAUCUGGACCUUGGGCCAUGCCUCGGGCUGGAGUUCCUGACCUAGGGGCUCAAUUUUCCCAUCAAGCUCAGAGUACCCGCAAGGGAAGCCCCUCCUCUUCCCACGGGCAGUUCUGGCUCCUGUGCCCCGUCCCCUCCAUGUUGGAGCCACUCCCUGACUCCUCUCUCUGCCCCAUCCCCUUACCCAACCGUUGACAACUCCACGGGCCCUACUGCCGAAUCUUCACUAGGCUGUCUUGCCCAGUGUUGCUGUCACAGUUUCCGACCGGGGCCUCUGGCUCUCCCCAGGCCAGACUCCAAGAUCACAAACCACUGUUCUCGCGGUGGCUCCCUGUUACCUUCCGGAAAGUCCUGAAACCUGCCAGAUGUCACCCCCUGGGGGCCCCCAGGGCUGCCCCAGGUCCCAUCCCACCUAAGGCCUAAUUCUUUGCUUUGAAAAUUUUUCAAAAAAAAAAGUUUGAAAUUCAUGCUGAUUUUUUUCAGUUCUUUGUCUACUCCUUUGACCGGGAGAGCUAACCUAAACCGUCCAGCCCACCCUUCUGUGCUCCGCUGCUCGCACCUCCCCCUGCCUCCUGGCCCUCUGCAUGCCAGUCCUAUCUGUCCACACGGCAGGUCUUCAUCCCUUGGACCAUCCCAGGUCCUCAUCCUUCGCUCCUGCCCUUCUUGUACACCCUCGGGACGGGCUAGUCACAGCACACCUGGGCCUGGGCCUGGGCCUGGGCCUGCUGGGCGUUAGAGUAGAAGCCUGCCUCUCUUGUCUGACAGCUGCUCUGCUCAGGAGCACACACAGCAGGGCCCAGCAGACACCACCUCCUGGUUGGCACCCAGACACAUUUGAGAGGAGAGCUGGUGUGUGGCAGGGGUGGCCAUAUCGUGUCCGUGACUCCUAGACAGUGUCACACCCAAGUCAUAGCCUCUUCUGAAGAAGUGGGACAGCACUUUCUGCCCAUUACCAAAGUCCGCCUCCUCCCUGCAGAGCCAUAGCGGACAGCCUGCGCUGUACUCAGAUGGAGCAAGAGUUAGGCCCGAGGGAGGGCAUGCACCUCAGCCCCGACGGCUGGGCUUGCAAGUCAGUGCCGCGUUCCCCAGGUGCAAC